AUUGAACGCUGGCGGCAUGCUUUACACAUGCAAGUCGAACGGCAGCGCGGGCUUCGGCCUGGCGGCGAGUGGCGAACGGGUGAGUAAUGCAUCGGAAAGUGACCAGUAGUGGGGGAUAGCCCGGCGAAAGCCGGAUUAAUACCGCAUACGACCUGAUGGUGAAAGCGGGGGAUCGAAAGGCCUCGCGCUAUUGGAGCGGCCGAUGUCGGAUUAGCUAGUUGGUGGGGUAAAGGCUUACCAAGGCGACGAUCCGUAGCUGGUCUGAGAGGACGACCAGCCACACUGGGACUGAGACACGGCCCAGACUCCUACGGGAGGCAGCAGUGGGGAAUGUUGGACAAUGGGGGCAAACCUGACCCAGCCAUGCCGCGUGCGGGAAGAAGGCCUUCGGGUUGUAAACCGCUUUUGUUCGGGAAGAAACUCUGUGGGCUAAGACCCCGGGGGGUUGACGGUACCGGAAGAAUAAGCACCGGCUAACUACGUG
rnacentral:rRNA from 1 species